rnacentral:lncRNA from 1 species
CACGCACGGUAGACUGAUUCAAAGACGGAUACUAUAGGCAUUGAGAAUUGCUUAUAGAGAAGACUGACUACUGGUGCGGAAGAUGAGCUGUUAAUAAAGAUUCUCUUACUUACGCAAUUCAGUCUUUAACAGCGCUUAUCCCGCAUCCUGGACUAUUCUUAAUGUGAAGAAGGUAAGGUCUCUCGUUGAGGCGCCGUCAAAGCCGACUUUUGAGAAACAAAAGUGGAACAAAUAACCUCGGAGAUAUGGAUUGAAAGGCAUUCCUCGUCCCAGCCAUAAAUCAAUGGGUAAAGACGGGCGCAGCCAAAUCAACCAUUUCCUAUCAAGACUAGGAGAACGGCGAUUUGACAAUCGACCAAGAGACAACUAUCCUACCCCUACAAUCCUACAGAAGGUCAUAUAUGAACCUCUGUACGGUAUAUUGAAACCGAAUGGCACUUAAGCCAUGGGGAUGAAAGUCGUUACUGAGACAACGGAUCGACAAAAGAAAGACCGGUACCAUCUGACUCCUUUCGAUAUAAAUUCUUUAUCUCUCCCAUCUUUCAUCCAUCUGGAAGCUCAUUUUUCAACACUCCAGGAAAGUUAAAAACAGGCUCUACUCCUGAGAAGCAAAUGCAUCUUCUCAACUGGAAGACAGUGGAAGAAAGUAGGCUUGUGAACCAGAGAUAGAACCUGGUGAAUGCGUAAGCGCAGUGCCUUUCGUAACUAUAUAUUAUACCAUACCUUCUUCCUGGCCGGCCAAGCCAAGCUCUUUUCAUUUACAACCCUUUCCUUUUCCGAUCUCUCCGUUUGCAGUUCCUGCAGCUUUCCCCCCGGUGAAAGAUCAAUUGGUUCGCUCGAUCUGGAAUGGAACCGGAUAAUAUGAAAUGGGCUCUCGACCCAGGCCUUGCUUUUCAAAGAAACCAGUCCUAUCGUAUCGACUAAGGUUUCCCAUCCUAGCCUAUCCCGGUGUCUGCUACCGAAAGAGAGAAUCGGUCUAAGUGCAGCUCAAAACCAGCCCAACCUCUUCAUGGUCACAUCCCCUUAUCCGACGCUUUUCGUGUUGUUGCAUGUGCCUUACGGUAUCCAGAUCCAGUCCUCUCUGCUUCCUAUGAUUGAAGUGAAGAUCCGCAAUGUCUGCUUUCCUUACUCUAACAAGUAAGCAAGUCAACUACCUUGGUAAGAAAAACAAAUAGGAUUUCAUAAUAGAACUGGGGACUAGAGGCCUCUCCGAUUGAGAGGAUAAAGUCUGUGAUUCAAAAACCAAACCAGUUGUUAGAGCUGGGUCGGAUAGGCAAUCAACAUGAUUGGUCCCGACCCAGUUUAAGUAGUUGGAUGUGAGUGCGCUUCUUCAAUCUAGGUAAGCGAAAGCAAGCAGUAGAUCGAGAAAAGAAAGAAUACGGAUUGCAACCUACAGAUGAAGAAUAGAAUUAAAUAAGAAGAGGAAUCAAUCGUUCAGUGAUCGCUACGCUUGAUUGGGGCAGGCUACCCACACUGUUUUGGCUAAAAAGCCAUCUCCUUGCCUCACAGUUUACCUACUCCAAAGUGAAGACAAAAAAAUCUGUCUAAAUAGCUCCGGCAGGGGAGAGAUCCUUACCAAUACAUUUUAGAUCCGGCUUAAAAGAAAAAGAAAAAAGCAUCUAUUAUAUUUAUACAAAUACAGAUAUCGAUUCAGUGAGCUAGCCCGCUACAGAUGAUUGCUGCCUUGCACUUCCAACCGGAAGAUAAGAAGCCAGGGACAAAUAACUUAAAAAAACCGAUUAUUUUCACAGAUCUGCUAAAAUAAAAAAGCCGAUUUGAGAUCGUUUAUCCAGGAAAGGCAACAUCUAUCGCAAACCUUAAACUCGUGAUUGAACUAAAUAAAGGAGGCCAUAAAAUAAAGAAGGUUUUUCUCACUACACGAGUAAGAAGUUACUAGCCGCCUACUCUAUAUCUAUAAAGAGAGACGGAUUUCGCCUGCCACUCUACCGAGCUAACCAGAGCAGAUGAGCAUCUCUUUCAAGAAAGGAUUGAACAAGUGAUUAAACAUCUGGCGGGGGAAUCGACCCACUUUUUCAGAUGAUUUGUGGACGGAUGGCCAAUAGCCAAUGCCGUUACCAAUUCAACCGAUUGAGAGAGAGAGGCCCAUGCUUUCCUUAGUUUGGAUUUCGAGAGGUUGGUCCGUUUACCUUGAAAGCGAUACAAUGGCAGGUUAUGAAAUACAUUCAAAUGGAUGAAUGUGAACGAGAUUGAUUGAUGGACCUAAGCUAAACUUAUAUAUAAGAUUUAACCUAAACCAAAGCCUAUAGACUGAAUUAGGAGAGCAGAGGUUUAAUCCAAAACCAGGAAAGCAAGCUAUAUCGAAUUCUGAAUAGGAUAUAGGCUUAACUAAAGCCCAAUGCCAAGCAACGUCCUAGACUACAAAUGCAUAAAUUGGGUUCCACUAAGCGCCCUUAACCCGACACAAGAUGGGACCCUAUUAGGUAGGAUAGUGGGCUUAGUCAGCCCAACAUAGGUUGUCCACCAAAAAGGGGAAGUUCCCGUGAUUUAAGGUUUCUGGAUAUCCUACCCUAAGACGAGAGGGUUGGGCUUAGAACAAGACCCAUCGGUGGAUAAGAUCACAUCUUCAUAACAAAAGGUGUACACGUUCGGCCUCACUCAAGGUAAUGGGCCAAACAAAUUGGAUCUUAUUGUAUGACAAAAUUGGUCAUUUUUUUAUUUUAUUUCCUCAAGCAAUAGGGUUUGACCAGUCCCAGCAGAGCCUGUGAUGAACACGGAUUUGCCCUGAGGGAUGGCAGACAAAAUAUGCUUCUGCUCGUUUCCCCAUUCUAUUGGAGUGAAGGUUAGCCCAAUGUUAGCAUUCAGAUCCAUUUUCAGCCCUGGCCCGGAAAUGCCACCUUUCCAAACAAAGCCCAUCGAAGUCCAGUCCAUCUAAUUCAUUUUAUUCCCAUUCCAGGACGGCCCAGGCCGCUAUCCGAGUGCAAUCGGCAAAAGCAAGUUUACCUUACUUAUCUUUAUAAUAUAAUUCGUUCUGCUGUCAAAAGUAGGGGAAAGUGUCUGAUCCUUUCAAUCAAGCGAUAGAGGCAGAGGCUUUACUUCAAUCGCCUACGCUAGGACGGAGCUGCUGUCGAGUGACGAUUGGCCGAGGGGAGUUCCAUCAUGAAGCUGGGUACAAAUAAGCCAGUAAAAGACAAGUAGAAGCCAGUGAAAGAGGAGUUGUCAGGGUACGACGAAGCACGCCUGGUACGUAAGCGAAUACGGAUCACGUGGGUUUGUACUGAUCCGCUUUCGAGCUGUCGAGUGAGGAUUGCUCCAUCUAUUAAGAAAGGACGCGGAGGGCCUUGUUUAUUUAUUUAGAAAGGGAGUACUCUCUUCUCUGAUGUGCGUUCUAUUAUUGCCUCCUAUUCCUGAGGGAGUUAGAGGGAUUAAGCCGCGUGGCGAUACCCGCGAAAAAACUAAGGAUUUUAUUUUUUCUUAAUGGACCCCCGCGCCUAUAAAUAGGACGCUUCUUUCUCUAUUUGGCAAAGCAAAGGGAGAUGGAUCCAGCAACUGCUGAAAGACUUUCCCAAAUAGAUCAAGAAAUUCAAAACAUCGAUACCGAGAAGGCCCAACGGCAGCAAACCCUGGCUGCCUUUUGGGAGCACCUGCCUCCCAUCGAUCCAGCGCUUGUGGCUGCAGCCAUGCAACGGAUCCUGGACCGCAUUCGCGGUCUGGAAGAAAGGAGGAGGGCCCUCCUCCAAGAACAACGAGACCUCAUUGUGAGGGGGGCCCUCCGCAGCCGCAGGGGGACCUAGAAGAGUCUUUAAUAUGUUGUUUGUUAACUUUUUGUUGUAAUGUUGUGUUUAGUUGUGUGGCUGGUUUGUCUAUGUGUGCGUAAGCUUCAUAAAGGGUCCGUCGACUCUUUCUAGAAGAUUUAAAUAAGUGUCUGUAGACGCAAAGUAGUGUGUUUUAAUGUAUGGUGUUCUUUGUCUUUUUUAGUUGAGAUCUACUCCGGAUGCUUACUGGAGAUAGACUCCUAUCUAUGCUAACUAUCUUUGUUUGGUUUUCUUUUUUAUGUUUGCAUGUAUGGUAUGGGAAAAGCCCUAGUUGUAAAUCUUUACUACUUAUGAAAAUAUAAUAAAUAAUAAAGUUCGUAAAAAUGUGCUGAAAAUUAAGAAAAAAGGUGUAAGCUCAGUGUACUGGAGAUGCGCUUAUUAAGCCUUUCUAGCUUUGAAGCAAACUUAUUCCUUGAGUCUGCGCCGUCUUAAAAACCAAACCCUAAUCUUGCUAGUUCAGUUCGUGUGUUUUACGACUAGUGUGCAUGGACCUUAGCCACGAGUUUUUCGGCCUAGACGCUACCUCUUCCCUGUCUUGUCUUUCAAGAGAAGUGAAGUGGGCGAACGAUAAGAAGAGUGACUUUCUCUCUUUGCUCUCCGUAAUAUGAUUGAUUAAGGAAACCCUUGCUUCUUAGAGGAAGGUAUAAUCCCAGGGAAGAGAUAUGAGGCUCUCGACCGAUAGGGAGAGGAGGAAGGAUUUGCUUUUGAAUCUAGUUUAGUUGCAAGCGUAAGCGAAACUCAGAACUCCAUUUCUAGGAAAUAAAAUAAGGCAUUUCAACUGUUCCCCGGUCACCUAUGCAAUUUCCUCAUCUGUGACUCUCCUACGGGAAAGAUUAAGAAAAGCAUAUGGAGGAGAGUUCGAUGUAACUUGUAGAUUUCUUUCUACCUUUUCUUCUUUAGCUGAGUUCUCUGUAAGCGAAUGAGCUGCUCAAAACCCUUUCAUUUCGUUGUUAAGGCCUCUUAAGGGGGAAUACCCAAGGGAAUGUUGGCAAAUGAGAUUUUCUUUAGUAACAGAUGCCUUCUCCGACAUGUCUCGUAUGUCAAGCUCUUUUCUUUCCCAAGGAGAGCUGGUUAUAGGUCAAGCAGUAACAUCGUACCUCUCCCACAUGAGGUCUAGAAAAGAAAGGUACGUAGUUGCUCGACCAUAGGGAGAGGGCUGAACGCAAUGACUUUAGGUGGAAGUCACGAACGAUAAGAAGAUCAGGAUUUCCUCUAGAAAUGAAUGUGACCUCAGCUCCGUAGCUGGAAAUAAAUCAAACUCAAACAAAGAACUCCAACUCACUUCACUUGAGCUAGGGCAACAUUAAGAAGAUAUAUUCCGGAGAGGAAAGAUAGUUUCCGGGUUCCCUGCGGGGAAGUUAGUGUUUUCUCCUCCCGCUCUGCUUCUGCUUCCUUUUUCCUUUCGCAAGCCAGCCUUUCAAUGAAAAUGUUUUCCUUUUUGGUGACUUUGUCUGAAGCUUUUGAACUGACUUAUGAGAGCAGACGAAAGUCUUCAAUUGCUUGACUUCAAGGAGAGGAUUGAAAUAGCUUCCUUCUUAGAGGUACGUAUAGGUAGAGGACUGCGUAACCUUGCUUCUUGGCAGCACGAUAGAUAAUCAGAGAAAGAAGAGUGUAGUAACUACAGCUUUUGCUAUUGAAUGGCAACGGGCGAAGACUUGCUCACUUAUAGGUCACGAACGAAUCAUACCUGAAGGAAGUCAGUUGCUAGUAGGGCAUUCUUACCUUAGUUUCUUUAUAGUUCUCACAUUGAAAUAUGUAGCUCAACCGAUAGUCCGAGAAUGGAUUUAGCUCGUAAGAGGAACAAAGCGAUAGGUGCGAUAGCAGAUAGCAGCGAUAGGGAAUUUAGCAAUUCUCUUCCUAGCAACCUAUUUGGGCAAAGAAAGCUUAAAACUCCUAGCACGGGGAAGACGGAUUAUCUGAUUCUCGUGAAUGUGACCUCCGCGGAGGUUACUAGUAUCUCGACCAUAGGGAGAGGGCUGAAAGUUGGCAAAAAAAUAGGGCUAUCUCUCGAGCUAAGAACAUCAUCUUCCCUCUCUGAAAGAUCAGUUCAGUGACCAAGAAAGAAGCAAGUAGGAAUGAGAACAAGCAUUGAAAAUUACAUAAACAACAGUAAUCAGAACAUCACAUCUCAGACUGUUUCUAUCUGGCGAUUGAGAAACUGACAGGCCCAAAGAGCUCUCCAAUCGUGCCUCGAAAUGAGGCCGGAGAGCCGGUAACCUGAGAUCGCCUAAGAUCGAAAAGCACUUGGUUUACAGCCAAGCAACGACAAAAAAGAGUCCCAUGUCUUUCUUGAUUGGUAAACCCAACCAGCGAUUUACAACAAACAAGUCUUUCUUCAUUGCUUAAAGUAAGUAAAGAAAGCGGAUCACAAAGACUGUUCAUAUAUAUAUGAAAUAUAUCUGUGUUGGGAAGGAUUCCAAGGAUGUAUAUGUAUAUCUAGAAAACCAACAAAAGAUAUUGAGAAAGGUCAAGGAAAUAAGAAUGAGAAUAAAAAGGGUAGAAAUGGACGAGGGGGUGGAAAUAAUACGGGAUCAAUGCCGCCGAAACAACCGAAAGGGUUGGGGACACCCCAACAGAGAGGGUAGGGGGAAAGUUGCUUUGUAUUAAACGAGUGAUUCAGAGUUGUCUUGCCUUUCUAAAUUCAAGCAUGUCUGUUAUGCUAGUUCAUCUAUAGAACGUCAAGACCUUGUCUUCCGCUAGAUACCCGAGAAAGUAGAUUAAGGUAAUACUUUUUCCAAAAAGCCCACCCACGUCAGGGUCAAAAGUUUGUCUGCCCAUUAACAACAAGAAAGCCAAUUCAUAGCGCAAGGAAAAUAAAGGAAGGGUAGGAGCUAUCCAGUAGAAUGCUAGGAGACAAAAGAAGAGGACCUCGCUACACGAAUUGAAAGGAAAGCUCGGACUUCUAAUCUAGCUUCGAAUAACAUUAAUAAUCUCGUUCAUUUUUCCUCCAGUCCAGCAAGGAGCGGAGCCAGUUCAACUCAUGAAAUGGAUGCUUUCGUAGGGACUGUAUGACUUUUUCUUCCUAAAGCUAGAGUUGGCCUGACCGGCUUCGCGGGAUCAUUUCCACUCUGUAGGCCGCUCAUUCCUAAAUAGGAAAGAAAGUGCCUUUUCGAUUCUUCCUUCCUGCUUUACCCAGGAAAAUGGACUCAUUCUAGCUCUCCUCUACUUCAACCACUAAGCGCUUCGCUCCUUUAAUUCAGAAUAGAAAAUCUCGCCUUUUUGGCAUGAACAUAUAGCAUGUGCGCCGUGAGGUCAAUCACUGUCAGUUCUUCUUUAGAAAUUCUCGAACAUGAUGAAGAGCUCUUAUCGGCUUGAGGCUUCUUUUCAAGCUGAGUCGAAAUUUCAUAAGAGAAGAAAGAAAGUAGAAAGGAUUUGGAUUCGAGGCUUGCUAAGUGAAGUCAACAAACAAAGAAAAAAAGCUUUCUCCGAGAAAGCGUCUGUUCACGUCAGGGUCCGGGGUAGGCUUCUUCUUCGAGAUUGGCUUGGUCUUCAGUGUGGGCAGUCUCAUUUGCUAAUCUAUAUGUUUUCAGUUUCAAGAGGGAAGAAGCGGGGUAGAGUAAUUGGUCAACUCAUCAGGCUCAUGACCUGAAGAUUGCAGGUUCGAAUCCUGUCCCCGCCUAAUCAUCUGAGGCCGUAGUCAGCCUCCAUCUUUCAGAUUCGUAAGUAACUCAGUGAGUGCUUUCCUUUUCCCAUGUCUUUCUUGAUUGGUAAACCCAACCAGCGAUUUACAACAAACAAGUCUUUCUUCAUUGCUUAAAGUAAGUAAAGAAACGAGAUACUAGUAACCUCUUGUUGGGGGAAGCAGUUAAAAAAUGAACCAAAGCAAAUGAAAGUGCCAAAUAAUCCGAUCGAAAUCCAAAACCUACUUCUGUACUUCCCCUUAUCAAUCAUUUGUUUUUGUGGCUCAUAAUCUUAUUUUUAUUGGUAUGGUUAAAGCAAAGAAAUCUGAAGGGAACAAUAGACUUUUUACAAAAAAGGGACAUCCCCUAUACAUUGCGAUGCACGCCGCUUUCGUACGAGGUCGUGCCGCAACCGCAACUAUUUAAGGAUAAGGGAAUCCCAAAUGGGUUUGUUGAAAUGGAGAAAAGGCAAGAACGAUAAAGGCGACGGCGCACGUUUACCUACUAGGCGUAUUGGUUAUAACAUUUGAAUUUCUCUUACAUUCCACGUUUCCGAAACGGAUCCUAUCAAAUAUUUUACAUUUUCUAUGAUCAUCUCUAUUUUAGGUAUUCGGGGAAUCCUCCUUAAUAGACGAAAUAUUCCUAUUAUGUCAAUGCCAAUUGAAUCAAUGUUAUUAGCUGUGAAUUCGAACUUUUUGGUAUUUUCCGUUUCUUCGGAUGAUAUGAUGGGUCAAUCAUUUGCUUCAUUGGUUUCAACGGUGGCAGCUGCGGAAUCCGCUAUUGGGUUAGCCAUUUUCGUUAUCACUUUCCGAGUCCGAGGGACUAUUGCUGUAGAAUUUAUUAAUAGCAUUCAAGGUUAAACAUGACUCCUAGAGAAUUACCAAAAUACGAAGUUCUCUUCUUUUUGAUUUUGACUUGGUUGGCAGGGUCAGGGCCUUUCUCGCUGGGCGAGCGCAUCCGAUUGAUUCGAAAGUCCUUUCCUAAACCACUUCCCGUUCAGUUGCUGAAAGAUAGAUAGAACCUUUCUAACUAAAUGAGAUUGAGUUCCACGCAAGCUAGAAAGAUGCUUUUUGCUGCUAUUCCAUCUAUUUGUGCAUUAAGUUCGAAGAAGAUCUCAAUCUAUACUGAGAUCUCGAUGCUGCUAUGUUUCAUUACCUCUUUCGUGACUUUCUUUAAGAAGCGCAAGACCCUCUUUUUUUAGGGUUCUUGUCCGCCAACGGCAUUGAAGCAAGCAGUUUUUAACCCCACUUUAUUUGCGUUCACUCUGUUUUUUUUAUUAUCUUUUAUGGAAAGAUAAUAAUAUCUGCUUUCAGCUUUUACCACAUUUUUACUUCCACUCCCUUCAACAAGCAGAUUUUGGCUAAACAGCUCCUAAACAGCCAGUUUUAGGGGCAGGCUGCUCCUGUUCCACUGUCCGAUGAGGCGAGCACUGAAGCUGCCCUUAUGGUUUAAAGGAAAGGCUAUGCUCUAUUAUUACCUCACCACUGAGGGAGACCUUCAAACUUGGAAAUGAAUGCUUCUCCAGCUGCAGUAGCUACUGGAACUUCCAUAGCGGGAUCUAUGUCAGUAAGUCGUAUGCGCUUAUAGGUGAGAAAUUUGCUUGACUCGGCCGCAUUCACUAAAAUAGAAUGCCUAACAAUGCUCCUUUCAAGGUCUGUCAGAUUUCGGAUAUAGUUGAAGUCGAAUCGGGGACGGGAGCUGCACGGAUCCGCGAAAGAAGUCAGUCUUUCUCUCUCAUCUCAUUGUUGAUUCUGAGUCCAAAGCUAAUGCUUUCUGUUCCACCCGAACUUCUUCACUUGCUUUCUUUCACAUUUCUUGUUCAAGUCUAUACUGUACUGUAAUAAUGUAAUAAGAAGUACAGGUUUCAUACUGUGGAGUAGUGGUUUAAUCUACUACUGUAAACUCUUAGCUCCAAUGAUAGUAGUGGAGAUUCUUCUAUAUAGAUUCGUUACUCUAUUCUUAUUAGAGAAUGACUCUAUUACUAUAUACUAUAUUGACGUCAUUAACUCGUUAUUAUAUAAGAUAAGUACUAAUCCUAACUUCGUACUAACUGCUCCUUUACUAACUCAGUACAAUAUGAUGCUAUGGCUAAAUUACUAUAUACUAGAAAACUCGUUAUAUCAGUACUAACGGAUGCUACUAACUCUAGAAGGACUAAGAAGUACUCGAUUCGUUACUAGAAGAACUACGUCCUUUCUUCAACCUCUUUCAUCCCAGCUCAUAUCAUAGAACUACGAAUAAGAGAGGUAAGGACCUAUGCACUGAUACGGAAACCUCUGACAAGUCUCAUGGUCAGAUCUACAGACUCUUCCAAACCUUUCAACAUUUACAUUCAAAUAACAGUACAAUCGUAAUACUCCAGUGAAGUAGUUGACAGAAGUGUAGUCGUUUAUGUAAGUACUCUUAAAAACCAUUAUUCCAUACUCCAGAAACCACUCCCGUAGCUCCAAGUAGUUAACUUAUUCCACUUCACCAGUAUGAUCUGUUGGUUGUACAGUAUCUUCUGUUAGCCUUAGUACAUAGUCAGUAUAGACUAACGUUGGCUAACGUUACUAACUAGUUAUUACGUCACUACUCGUUGAGGCUAGACCUUGAAGUUGGAAGUUUCAGUUAAAGUCCCAGGUUCAAUAAUAAGCAAGAGGAUAGUAAGCAGAAAGCAAAUAAGCUAGCAAGUAGUUAGAAGUAUUCCCCAGCAAAUGACAGACUUGAUACAUAAACAAAGGUCAUGCCACCUUAUACGUCGUGAAACUAACCUUAAUUCAUUCUAUAGGGUAUCUUAUCCCAUAUCCGCCAGUCAAGCAGGAAAUCCAGUAAGCCCUUUUUAGCUAAGCUUCUUCUAUAAUUUAGUUCUCUGGGCAAGGUAUCCUACUUUCUAGGCUCCCUCGCUACUUACGAGCUCAAAAACGGAGUGUGGUUGCUCGUUAUAGUGCUGAACAGAGUAAAGGGCGGACGAGAAGGCCCCGGGCCCGGAUGGAACGCUCGAUUUUUCAAAGAUUGCUGGAACAUAGUAGAAAAGGAUGUGACUAGGUCCAAAACUUCUUUCGGAAGUGAACUCCCUUUGGAGACCCAACCACCUAUCUUUUCUUUCGAUUACAUCAACCAGUAACUGAGGGACAGAUUGCCCUAAGGAUUCAGGGACGAGGGAGGGCAGCACUCACGUAGUAGAGCCUGAUAGAAUGAGAGACAGCGGGAAGUAAAGGAGAGGAUGUGAAACCGAAAGACUUGAACUUCUACUGGAGAGCCUACCACACCGGAGUGGAAAGAGAGGGAAAGAGUCUUUCUUCUUUGUCGCCUUCGAUCUAUGAAAUUGCGAGAUCUGCAUUUGAGAGAGUCCGUGCGAAGGCUACUAGUUCAACUGCUUCACCAACGAGUUCAGCAGCUCAAGUCAAGGCCGAUACCGCUUGCCGGGAAGGACACUCUCGAAUCCGAAUCAAAGAGAAGGGAUAGCCACUCAGCAGCCACCUGAUAGAAAGGUGAUGGAACCUUUUUUCAAUUCAUUAGAUUAGCGAUCACAGGUCCGCCGCCGUCUAGGGAUCAGAGUGAGAGGCAUAAGAAGAUAAAAAGUUCCUAACCUCGGAGGCCAGGAAAGCUAGUCAGAAUCAGGGAGGAAAGAACUCUACCGAUUAUCAAAUCCCUGGGCUUUGCCAAAGACAUAGGAGGCAUACUGAUCUUAGUCUACGUCCGGCUCUCGAACCUGAUCUCGUAGAUUACCUCAACCAAGUAAUAGCAUUGACUCACCUUCUCGUUCUCUAUGCGAUUGGAAUCUCAGUCUGAGUCCCAGCCGGAAAGAGAAGGGGACUGAGAGAGCUAAGUGCCUUUGCGAGUAGCUACAUCUGAACUGACCUGCUGUGCCCAAUUUAACUGAGAAAAAAGGAUGAAUCCACUCCGGGUUUAGGGGUUACAUAAGAUCUUGAGUUGGACCAGCCUUUACUUCGUUAUCUAUGUAAGCAAUUGUCCGAGAUUGAUGUGGAGAGGGCAGGCGACUUGGGGGAAUGAAUCUCUAACUCUGAGGGAAGGAGAACCCAAUUCACCUUGUCUGAGGGGUUUCAUAGGGAGGGACCCCACAUUGAAUACCUUUCUCAGUUCUCAGUGUGCGAAAGAUAAAGAUGUUGUAUGCUUUCGUUCUGGCUGAAAGCAACAAGAAAGGAAGAAGAUGAGAUGGUAGGAAAGACUUGAACUGAGACCGUGAGCUACAAGCGACUCUAGCAUAGCAGUAGGAGCCGAAGGACGAAGAACUGCUUCAAGCCACGCCGCGAGAGCAGCUGAACGAGGAGAGAACAAAGAGACUGUCUGAGCGGCGAGAACUUGAUCUCAUCGGUAAAUGGGGUACCACUAUCGAAUCAAAGAGAAAGUUCUCGAUAUUAUCCAAUAACUGGACUGGAGCUUCUAGCACCGACAUAGACAUAUUAAGUGAAAGGAGUCGGGAUUUGUCCCAAAAGGGGGUCCCACGAUGAAAUGACUGGUCGGUGAAGCCCUAUGAUGACUAGCUUUGAAGCCAGGAGUGCAAACUCUGCUCUGACUAAUAGAAGUCUCAUUUCCUAUCCUGUUAAGGUGCCGUUUUCAAGAAAUUCAUUUUCAAGCAAUUCAAAAGAGACUAUCGCUUUGUCAUUCAAUUCUUCUUAUCUUAUUCUCCUGCUACAAAUGCCAAAACAGAGAUCUCAAGAUCAGCUCUUUCGAUCGCCGAGUCAGAAAAGAUUGAAGCAUAGCGCUUUUCUUUUGAUCUAGAGGGAUUGAUUCAAUAGAAUAUCCCUAAAGGAAGUGGUGUCUGGACGCCUUUCCUUUCAAUCAAAGCGGAUUCGAGCUCGCCCGCUCUAACGGCUUGUUUCCGAAGGUCUGAUUCAAAUAAACCGAGAAGGGCUCCUUCCUACUUAUCUUAGGGAUCACAGAAAUGAUUAUCUUGUUCGUGGCAAUCAAUGUCGCUAAAAGUGGAACGUAUGGACUGCUGUGUAGAAUAGGAGCGAUAGGCCCUACUGGACGUGGAAAUGACGGAAUCAUAAAAAUUCGCAAUAGCAGGAGCAAAGAAAUUUCAUCCGCUUUUAGCCAAUGCUGAAUGCCUCUUUGCUUUGGGAGGCAAUCAAUAGGAGUUGAUGAUUCUCUUGUGAAGAAAGCAACUUAUCUCUUACUAAAGAAAGGACCUUUUGUAAGGAGGAAUCCUUCUUUUUUGUUGUAAGGUCUGGACUCGAAGAGGGAGUCGAUUCACUCAAGACAGCUAGAGGACGAGAGAAAGCCUUACCAGAAGUGAAGUAAAGAAGAGCGGGAAAUAGAAGAUCUUAAAACGAUUGUAAAAAGCAAUCUCCCCCAUAAAAAAGAAGGGACUGACUUCUUUCUUGACAAGGAUCCUGAAUAAAUCGCGCAUGCUCCAAGGACUUCACGGAAUUAGGAGGCACACAGGUAGCAAGAGAAAUGCGGGUAAGCGACGACCUCAAAAAAACAAGUUUUGAUUUCCAGAAAGAUCCCCACGCUGCGGGAUGAACCUCGCCAUAAGAACCACCAGCGACUGGGCACGGGACUCAACCUCUGAACCUCUGCCUGACCAGGCACGGAAGCAGGAACAGGCCCAUCUGUGGCAUCGGAUUUGAAUGCCGAGAGGAAGAGGAAUCCAUUGACUGAAAUCCAUUCUUGGUUUCAACUUGCUGAGUCUCGGAAUCAGUUCCGUGGGCGUCAACAAGCUAAUUGGUUAGGCGCGUUGUGGUUUCCUUGGAUUAUUUACAAGCGGUAUUCAAGCUCUUAUUUUUGCUACUUUAGCUGCGGCUUAUAUAGGUGAAUCCAUGGAAGGCCAUCAUUUACUAGUUUUCUAAAUAGUCUUUUUUUUAGUUUAGCCCGCCGCAAUGUAUGUGCGGCUCAAGAUAAUCUACUUAGGGAACAUAAAUAUAUAAAAUAGAAAGAAAUUUGGAUAAUUUAAUAAAAUAAAUAUAAUAUUUAUAAUUAGAUUACUCAAAUUCUGAUAUUUCUAUGCAAUAAUUCGGUCUAACGAAUUGAUUUAGAUUUAUUAAAUACAUAUGGGAUAAUAAAAAAGUCAAACGAUUCUUUUCAUAAGUUUUCUAAGUGGCCUGCUCUUCUCUCUUUUCUCUAUUGAAUUUAUAGUAGCGAGACGGAUUCACCACUACUUAUGACUUCGCCAAUGGGGCAAACGAAGGCUAACCCGUUCUGGUUGUUAUGACUGGCAAGAAUCAGUAGGUUCUUUCAGUCUUGCUUGUGCGCUUUGGUCCUUCUUACAGAGACUAUCCUUUGUAGUUGUUAUGAUCCAUCCAAGGAAUGAGCUUCCCCAGAGUAAAAUCCCGUGGACUACAAGGAAAAGAUAGAACCUCGCCCAGCAGCUGAUUCAAUAGCAGAUGGUCUUGGAAUUUCAUUCGAUGCUUCUGAUUCAACUCCAAGACAACCAAGGAAGUAUGCGCGAAGAUAGGGUUUAGCCCCGGUCGCUUAUGUUGAGGCGGCCUUCGCUGUGCUGCACUGGCUUGAGGAUAUGAGGAGAUAGAAAGAAGAGAGACCUAAGGUCUCAGUUAUGGUGUUACAGUCCUGCUUCCACCAAAGGCAGGCUUGCUUACAGAACUGACUUAUGGAGAUCGAUUUUGACAAGAUUCAGUCAGUACCAACAAGGAAAGAAGGACAGAUUAGCUCUAAAACCUUAACUUGCUUGAAUCUUCGGAGAUCUGAGUAUCGGCAACUCCCUCAACAGCUUCACUCGCUUAAAGGACUACAGCAUAAAGUCCUUGCAUUGCUGUGAGUUUCAGACUCAGAACUCUUUCAUUAUUGAUUUCAUGAACGUCGUUUACAACUAAGCUUUUUCCCUAGUUUCUUACUUCCCCUUAGUGUUUGUUGUGUUGGACUUGAUAUACCUCGACCCUAGUCUUGGCUAGUAAUAGGAAACAUAAAGAAAAAUAUAGUUGUCUAUUUAAUUUAAUAUGAUAAAUAAAGUCUUCCUGCCUUUCGGAAGGAGCAUUCCUCUUUCUUUUGUUGACUCGCUUGCUAGCUUUCCAACUGGAACUACCGAUUAUACGUUAACAAAAAAACGGGCUGCCUUCCCAAACUUGGCAGGAAUAUCUCCUACUCGCAGGAAAGGGAAGAAAGACAAGAGAUCUGAUCUAACGAAGAAAACGAGUACUGGCUAGGCUAAGAACAACGCCUUUAAGGCAGGCUAACUGGACUACCACUGCCUCUACUGAUGGCCUUAGAGAAAGAACUUAACUCAUCAAUCAGUCAGUCUAUAGCCUUCCAGUUUUCAGGAUUUGCUGGUCUUACCGUUGUUCGGAGGAGCUCCUCCUUCUGAGAACACGGGUUCAAGGGCCUUGCUACUCCAACGAGGGCACCCUUUAUUUAGGCUUCUUCAGUCCAUCGGCGAGAACAAAACAAGCCCUUUAAGCAGAACGUCAUGCCAUUGGGUUGAUCGAGUGAGACUCCCUAGCUGUAGCUCGAAUUGCUAUUGCUUGAUUGAGCAUUCGAAUCCAUUCUCUUCAAUUGGAGAGGAAGCCAGCAUAAGGGAGCCCACUCGACCUAAAGCUAACAAAGACUUAUGGCAAGGAAAUCUAUUCCAUUCAUUCAGGCUUUUCUAUAUCUUGAAAGGUUCAUUCCUACUACUUCAUUUAAGACUUUCAGGCCUCUCUCCUGUCACUAGCUGCCGAGCGUGCCUUGUGUGUGUCUCAGUGGAAUCAAAGCCCUUCCGCCUUUGACUAGACUCUCGGAGAAGCAGAUGGUUAAGUCAAGGCCAACCAAGGUGCGUUGUUAGACUCUCUACCUAUGAUAGUUGGGCUCUAGCCUUAGGUGGCUCUCGCCAUUUGACUACGACCCAUAUCCGCCUUAAGAGCUAACGGUCAACUGGCUAACUGUCUUGUUCGCUCUACGGUAAGAACUGCCUACUAAUGAAAGAAUGACAUAGAAAGUAUAGGCUGAUAUAGGGCUUUUCGUGUUAUAACUAAUGAAGAAGGUAAGUUCAGACUUCAUUAUUUUCUUUCCUCACCGACUAUUUUGUAUAGAAGAGUUAGUUUAAGAUUGACCUACGGCAUAACUUAAAUGAAUUCUUAGGGACCGAUAGAUGAAAACGGAAGAAAUUCUAUAGUUACAUAGAUAAGCUUAUAAUCCCUACGGAAAGAACAACAACGACCGAGAAAACCCUGCCCACACAUGACCACUUUGUCUUCGGACCUGGCCGGGAUAACAGGAGCUGUAAGAUUUACGUAAUAUACUUUCCUUGUUCACCCUCUCUUUUCAGUAUAUUCCGUUGGUGAAUUAAUAAAGGCGAAAUGAAAUCUUUCAUGACCCGGCCCGGGUAGUGAAUAAACUUGGAAAUAGAUCCAAUAGUUCAGUUCGUUCGAGAGACCUGCUCGCUCGGAAUGGAAUCGGUUGAAUGUACGACGGAUCAUGAAACUCCCAACUUUUUAUGGACUAGCCGUCGCUAACUCUAGAUCAAAGAAGUGGGAAUCGGGUUGUAACCGAAGCCUGUGAUAUGGAUAGGCGCCUUGAUCGCUGGAAUGUAGGGUCUCCAUCCGAGAAUUCCAGUCUGGCAGACAAAAACUUAUACUGACAAGGAACGUCUGUCGAAUAGUUGUUGGCCUUGAAAAGAUCAAACCAACGGGUCGGCAACCGGAUAAGCUCCCUCUUUCAUUAUUAUUAUAUUUAAAAAAAGAAGGGGUUGGAUGGGAAGGUACGCAGUGAAAGACCUGAAACGAGCGUGAGUGUGUUCCCAGUAGUUCAUUCCGAUAGGGAAUUCCGAGUUCGAUCUAAGUGGCUAACCAAGGACAGGCUCCAGAGGAAGAGGAUGCAUUCCGGUAUGAAUGAUAUAAUUCACGCUCAUAAAAGGAGUAUGAGAAGUUCUGUGCCAUUUUCUGGCGGGGAACGGACUUGACUGACCAGUAGAAGGUUGGUUCUGCCUUGACAGUGAGAAGAAGAAGUAGUGGGCAAACGAGCCAUAUAAGAUCUCCUAAUCUGCCUGUGCGGGAAUUUUCAUUAUGAGCGAGUUGAAAUGGUCGGUUCGCUUUCUUUUAGUAACGAAUAGCGACUAUGGGCAGAAGAGAGAGUAUAUUCCGAAAGGUUGGGCGAAGUCUCUCGACCUUUGUGAACAAGAUUGAACCAAAAACUUCUUAUGAGCUGGGCAGUCGGACAAGUAGUGAGUUGAGUAUUAUCCUGUGUAGGGCUUACCAGUCAAUUAGAGUGAUGGGGCAUUUAACAGGGGCGUACAAUCCCAAGGGAGAACGGACACGAGGGAAAGUAAUGCUAACUCAAUUCCCGGGAUUAGGGUUAGGAUCAGUCUUUGAAAAAGACAACUUUCUUGACUAGCUGACCCCAUGUCCUCAAUCAAUCCCUUGGUUCGCUCGAUUUAAGAACUCAGCAGAAUGAAUGGCAUUUCAUAGUAUCGAGCCCAGAAAGAAGCAUACCGGGCAUUCGCUUGGUAGGUACAUUUUAUGUACAAUAGAUAAGUUUAUUCUAUUCUAAAGACGGGGUUUUAUUAUGAUUUAUGUGAAGGUAGACGACACUAGCUGAGCUGGGUUCUUUCUUAGACACAUGCUGGUCUAUGUGCAAUGAAAAAGCAAUGGAAAGAGAGCCGAUGACUCUGAUUUAUGAUAGGAUGUGCCAUUCCCGGAAAGGUAAGAAGGAAGUGUGAGUGCUUCUAUCACAAAUAACGAAACGAGCGAGUGAAGACCUAGAAAAGCUCUCCUGAGUCAACCUACCCUACCCGGAGUUACAUUGUUUCCCUGGAAGUGAGCGAUAAUAAAGUACAUUUAGAUUUCCAAGGUAGGAUUAGCGGCUAAAGGGCUCGGGAGCAUCUACCUCAUUUCCCAAGCUGGAGUGGAGUGGGAAAAGGCUCUCGAUCUGCCGGAAAAUGAGGAGGCGCCAGCUUGUCUGCGUUCCCAUGUGGCAGAUGAAUUACGAAUCCUUUUCCAUAUUGGGCGCAAGAAGACCCUAUCCGACAGCGAAUUUAACAAAUUAAUCGGCGCAGAAAAGUCCUUUUUUGUAGUGCCGGACUGCUCUGGUCUGUCUCACAUUCAUCAAGGAAUGAUGUGCCAUCCACGACACACUACCAGGUAAGAACUCAGCCUUCAGCUGCUCCCAGGUUCCGAUCGAGCACUUCCCUAUGCCGACCUCAUCCUAUAUCUCCAAACGUGUAAAAGAGGGGUUGCUACUUCAUACCUUUCCAUUUAGCUUCUUGUUGUUUUCCUGAUUCUUAGGAUAACAAUAUGGGACUCUUAAUAUCAUCCCUUAACAGGACUUCAAUCAGUAUUGAUCCGGCAAUGGGACGUCGCUUUAACUCAAUUCCAUAGAGCCUUCGCUCUAUUCUUUGUGAGCUUUGGGAAGAAGAUCAAUGCCUUUCUUUCCUCUUUCCCAUAAGAUGAAAGAAAAGUUGGAAUAGGAUGUGUUCAAACUUCUUAGCCCUCGUCAGCUGCCCUUGCUACGCUUCGGAUGCUAUGAGCUCGGCUUAGCUUCACUUCGUCGGGAAGGAGUGUAGCUAAGGUCAACUCCCUCCGGAAGGGGGGAUACCAGAAACUCUCCAAGAAGAGCAACUAUCUACUGCUAGCUCCUAGCUGUUUUCUCUUCUUGGCAUCCCUGAUAGCAGCACUUUCAGGUGUUCUUAGGUUAGUUCGACGGUAGGGCUAGUUGAAGCAUCUUUAAGAAAUGUCCUGACGGAAAUAAAUGUCCCAUUAUUGUUAAAGGAAGCUAAGAAGAAGUGAAGUAUCCCCUUCAAAACAGGCAACCAAGACUUAUGAAGUGCGUUCAGGCUCACUUUACACUUUCUAAAUGGGAACCCUAAUUCGAAAUAUGAAAGAAGUUUGCAAGAGAUCCAAGGGAUCACAGUCUUCCUUCAGUAAAGGCUGUAUGUAAUUCAGUCUUCGCCCACCUUUCUAUAUGCGAGUAUGCGAUUGUUCGCUCGACCCGCCUGCCCAGUUACGAAAUGAAAUAGUUAGCUCUUAAAAAGCUAUAAAUUCAAGGAAACUCAGUCUCUGAGUUGCUAGGAAUUCCCAAGCCUUAGCGAAGAAAAAAGCCUACUUGAAGAGGGAUGCCAAGAGGAGCAAGUUUACUCACUUUAUCUUAAUCUUAUGUAAUAUUACGUACGACCCCGCGAGCUAAAUCUAAAUUGGUCUCAAAGAUUAUCAAGGGCUUUGCGCCUCUCUUACCCCUCCUUCUAUCCAAUAUCCAAAGAUACUUUAGAGACUUUCCCAGCUGUAGUAGCUUCCCUUCCAUCCCAUCGAUUGAGCUUUCUCUCGCUUAAUUCAAUAGGGCCUUAGUAGACCGCUUUGAAUUCGAUAACUCGAUCGCUUCUUUGCUGCUCUCGGCUUCUGAAUUCGUACCUUUCAAUAGCCAGUCUAGAAGCCCUAAUCUUGUAAGGCACGUGACUGCAUUCCUAAAUUCUAUCUCUGCUUCCUUCACUCCUUCUUAUUACAAUACUGUAAGUGGGGCUGGGCAAGCCAAGCAAAAUGGGAGUUUCCUCUUUGUAUCCUCUAGUCUCAAGACUUUCUUUCACUUUGAAAAUUAGGGCCGGAAAAGGACUCGUUCUUGAAAAGGAGAGAGAACUAAAAAAACCUUGAGUCCAAGUCCGGAGUAGUGGAUGUCCACCCUGCGGCCCCCCAAGAGAGUGGUCUUGCCCUUCCUUUGCUUUGCCCUUGGCGAACUGGCAAGGGGUGCACCAAAUCGCACAACCGAAACUCCAAUAUUCGGAAAAAACAUAUGCUUAACACAUGCGUCAAUAACUCCGGUUUCGGGGUAUCCGCCUCUUAGCGCUAAGCAUAAAGUUCGCCGGCUACGAGUUAAACAUUAGUGCAUAUGGGCGGGAAUAGCACACUCCCCGGCGACUGUUUAGGGUUGUCCCUUUUCCGAACCGUAAGAAGAUCGAGAUUUCUCACUACUAGCGGACCAUGCGUUUAAACAAGACUGCUUUCUCAGACUUAAGUAAAAAGGAUCUAAUACUAAUAAAGCAGGGUUCGAAGGUGCUGGGGCUGUAUAGCUCCUGGGAAAGCUAAGCUAUAAGCUAAGAAAUAAAACAUUGAAAGACGUUCACCCCUUCCUCUAUAAUGUUACUUCGUACCUUCUAUCAAGUAUAAAGGGAGUAGAAUUGCUUGUUUGAUAGAACAAGGGAGGAAUGAAUAAGUAAAAUGCCAGUCUCUUUGAGAAGAGUAAGCUCGGAAUCACAGGGGUUUGAAAUUGAUUACACUCCUUCUCUUUCUCUCCCUCUUUCCUCUCUUCAAUUAUAGAGACCCGUACAUACAAAGAUCUAGGUAGCUCAUUUAAAUGAAUUCGAGGAAAACAGCACAUUACAUUAUGGCAGUGAUCUUUAGCUGGUCAUAGCCAUAAUCAUAAUAAAGGCAACGCAAGGUUUGCUCCAUUCCAGACCGACCUACCGUUAGCUUUAAUAAAGCAGUAUUCCCUGGUAAGGACUGGUGGCAUAGCGCAGUCCUCACCGAUGUGGUGUCCAGUCACAACCUAUAGAUAUAGAAUAAGAAGAUUCUCCUUUUACUUACUAUUGAUUUGGAACUUCUAGAUCAUCUCGUUCUACUUUAUGUCUUACCUAGUUUAAGCCUUGGUGGUCUCAUUUAACCAGUGUGCCCACGUGACAAUAAGAGCAUCGGUAAAGGAGAUCCUCCUAUUAAUUCCUAUUGAAGCUGAGCAAAGCAGGUGAUGUGCCACUGUAAUGGAGGGCUCAGAGAGAGUCAAAGUGUCACCACUGAGUACUCCGAACUGGUCUCCGCAAAGCCUUAUACAGGGCUUGUUCUCUGUUUUUAUUGAAACCACUUUUUGAAUGAAUCUCCCACUUCUAUAGCUAUCCUUCUGCUUUCUCUUGUGCUGGCCUGCCUUCUGGUCUUACUAGCCAUCCCUCCCAACUAAAAUUUUGAGUUACCUGUCUAUAAGCCCAGUAUUGCUAGUUUUCUAUCUUUCCUUAUCAAGUUUUAUGGCUGGUCUUCCCCGCAAGCAGUUCACCCAUUAGUUCAUUUGCUCGCCCGAAGCCUUAGCAGGAUACAAAAUAAAAUAACAUGAGUAUUCGCAAGUCUUUGGCAGCUAGGGUUGCAAUUGGCUAGUAGGGUUUAGUAUCUAAGCGGCUGGCUAAUGUAGGGAAUCCACCCAUCUUGUCAGUAGAGUCAAUCGCUCUUCUUCCUUUACCGGAGGUGUCAGUAAAAAUAGUAAUCCUCCUUCAGUCCCUGGAAGUGAUCCGGAUCCGUAGUCGGUGUUCUUAGUGCUGUAAGUGGUACGCACGCCUUAGUCUUAGACUCAAUCUGCUUUUAUGCCAGUAAAGUUGAAGUCUUCUAUUCCCGGAGCCAAGGAAUCGAUUUCUAGUGGCUAACUUUAGCCAGAAGUUUAGGCCCUGCCCUUCCAAGGCGUCUUAUUAUGCUCGCAUGGGUGGUCGCUCUAGCUAUAUCUAUACAUAUCGAGCUAUCAAAAGCUUUUGAUUACAACACUUCGAAUAGUUAAAAAAUAUUAUUAUUUAGGUUGAAAAUAUCCUAGGAAUUCAGUAGGCUGAAAGUAGGGUAUGCUCAUAAUAUUCAUCUAAAGUAAAAGACUAUCUUUUAUGUCAAGAACUAACACUCGUCCGGAUACUAUGCCUUCCAGAACUAACUAUCGACCGCAUCGCAUUAGCUCCCCUGUCCCGCUCGUAUCGUUUCGAUUACUGCCUAGGGGUCGCUACUCUUGUCCCUUGGCUAUGGGCUAUGAACUCCUCAUCUUAACUGUAAAACGGAUUCUGCCCUAAUUUCAUUUUACGAGAAAGCUGCCGGGAUAGGAAAUUUGUGUCAGUUUAAAGUGAAAGAAUGAGCCCUAUGACUAUUCUUGCAAAAGCCCUUUAUACUUUACUUUAUUAGUAUCUCACUUGCCCGAAGGAUUGGAUCUUCUUGCCGGGAAAGAGUUUGGUUACCAAGUUCAGCUAUAGUUGGGAAGGGAACGAAUGGGGAUGCCCGUCUUGAACUUAUAAUUGAUGUAUGAUAGAGCCUCCAGCAUAUAGGCCUAUCUCACUUGGAUUCUUCUCACGAAUUGGAUUUGAACCAAUAUCUCCGGGCGACUUUCCUUUUAGUCGAUCGUGAGUGGUCUGUCGUCCUCCUCAUUAUAGUCCUCCUAAAAUCAAUAGCAUUUAGUCGGAAAACAUCCUGUCUUUUUACCUCAGUAGUCCUAUGCAUAGUAAGUACUAUAGCCCCAAUCAUGGCAACUAAUAAAAUUAGACUAGGAACCAAAAACCAGACGAAAUAGUAGGUAUAAAGUAAAUUGCCCAAUGUUUCCAAAUUAGUCCAACUUCGUACCUUUCCGGCAUAAACCGUAUAUCUAAGAGAGGUAGUAUUUCUUUGGGUUGGUAGUAAUGGAAUGGUUUCAUUAUCUAAAAUGAAGAACAUUUCCCACCAAAGGAUCAGUCCAAUAAUACCACUCACUGGUAAAUAGCGCAAUACUUCUUCGUGAAUCUCCGCUAUUUGAAUAUGGAACAUCAUAACAACGAAUAGGAAUGAUACGGCUAUAGCUCCUAUAUGAACUACUGGGAAGAUCAUAGCGGAGAAGUCGAGACCUAACAAAAGAAGUAAACCUGAAGUGUCGCGAAAGACUGGGAUGGGAAACAAAACGGAAUGUACCGGAUUUUUAGCACGUGCAACCAUCAAACCAGAGACCAAAGCAGGGCUCGACAAAACAGAAAGUAUCAUGGCAUUGAGAAGAAAUGAUUCCCUCCAGACAGACUGAACUCCGUCAAGCCUGUAGGACUAGUGUUUUGACUAUAUAGAGAUGUGGUUGGUUGUUGACCAACAGAAAGAAAGCAUGGCGGCAUAAACCGUAUAUCUCAGAGAGGCCCCCUCAGAGGAGCGUAGAAGGAGGAGAGUAGGCUGGGGUUGCUCCUUAUGUGUAAAAUCCAGUCAGCAAUCUCGGAGUUGGAAUAGCUUUCUAUCUCCAAAUCCAUGACCAUGAUAGCGUAGGCAAAUCUAUUAGAAGUAGUAUCCGUGGGGGUGGUGGAAGCCACAUAAAGCUUUCAUGGACACAGGAGAGAGGUUAACCCUCAUAUCCUUGACCAGAAAUUGUUUGGCAAACUCUACAGCACCAGUUGAGGAUAUCAAAGACUUGUGUGUGGAUAUCUUAACACCAAGCCGUUGUAAGCCUAGCCGGUACUGUUCCGCCACAAGUGGAUCGGUGAUGAGAACAUCAUCACCUAAUAUAGCAUACCUGUCGAACAGGAUCCCAGGUCUAACCUGUUCCGCAGCCCACCACACCAAAACAUGAUGGGUGAACGCGAACAAAGGCCAAUAACCAUAAUAGCCUAACGGUUGACCGGUCACAAAGGACACUUGAGACAGAGCCCUCUUAACGAAGGGUACCUCAAAUACAUUCGUCCCUAAUGUUGUAUUCACAACACUUGAAGCAAAUGACCUGUCAAACAAUAGCGCAAGCCUUUCAAACAGAAACACAAGAGGCCACCAAUCGGUAGCACUCUUGAGGUCAUAGCUUAAACAUGUUUUACUAGGAACUAAACGAAUGAGAGGUGCUGUUUGAUCAUCCAUUGGGAUGCGGCGGAGGACCUCCGCAAACCAAUGGUGGAUGGGUUUCAGCAACCUCUCACAUAGUUUCCUAUUGCGAAUAUACGACGCUUGCCAGCACCCUCACACGUGCAACCUAGUUUGCCUGUGAUUGCGGCCCAUAUCGUCGCAGGAUGGUAGAAAGGGCCCUAUACGGCGCUCAAACCAAUCCAAAUCCUCGGGUGUGUUUUAUUCCUCACAUCAAAGGCGUAACGAAUACGGGGAGGCCACAAGCAGCCAUGUGACCAUUGGGUACCCUGUGAGUGCCCAACGACCAACAGCCAUUGAAAAGCGCCCAACUCAUGAGAAAACGAUGUGAAUGAAGAGCGAAAGUUCCGAAUCUUACGAUAAGGAAGUUUCCUUCUCUUAACCCACACCCUUUUCGUCAAUGAGUGUGUCGGCAAGGCUUUCCAGGUUGGUUCAAACCGUAACCCUUGUUUGUUCCAGGGGUAUACGUUUUAUCCAGGGAGCAUAGCGACUGAUAAGUCGAUUAAAGUUCUCCUUAAUCGAACCAACCAGCCCCACCACCUCGUCAAUAUUAUCGGGUGGGGAUAUUAUACUAGAAAACGUUGAUUUAUCAACCUUCUUUGCCAAAGUAAUGAUCUUUGACAGAGAGAAUCUUUUUUAAUAAAACUUCACCAGCAUGUCCGCUUUCUCAUCCUUCUUCAGAAUCAUACGCCUAUGAUGAGACGGAAUGAUCCGAGGGUAACCGGACCGAGUGAGAGAAACUGGUACCGCAUUGUCAGGAUGAACGAAUUCAUCACCACCAUAGGCCAUCAUCAAGGAUGAAGCUGCUUGCUUAAAAUAGAAAGCGCAGAACAACCACCCUGAUUUCCGACCAAGGUGAACAAUGCGAAUAACAACAAGAUGGAUCCCCACACAGAGUUCCUUGUUCAGACCAUCAAAGAUCACUAAAGCACCUUUUGGUAUGUAUUGCCCCCUAAAGAUCAGAUCCACCAGACGAGAAACUCCAUUCCGCACUGCUGCUGAGUCGUCGGACUUAUCCACCAAGGGAUUCGUGGAAUUUAUAUGGAUUGCGUUGGGGGAAAUCUACCAAAGCUAGGCAGAUAGAUAGACUCCUUUCCCGCUGCUAAGGGAGAGUAAGAAAGAAAAUCAAUCAAAUGAUUGUUUUUUAAUUUAAUCAGCGCCUCCUUUUCUUUUGGGUAUGCAGGUACUACGAGUCCUCUCACUACCAACCAGCAGACAUCAUCUGGCUGGUCUUGCCGGUAUCAACAACAAGAAAAAACAACCAAAUGGAAACAGCAAUUAACUAUGGCUCUUGGCCCAGACAACGUCCUAGGCGUCGGGGAGAUCGUAGCAACAAGGAACGCCUAGACGACGUUUUUAUUCCUGGGCUGCAGUAAGCAGAUCGAGAGGUCGUUCCGCCCCUUGUCCCCGAAUAUGGGUAAUAUGUUCUCAAAAAUUCUUGCUCCAAUCUGACCUAGCUGGCGAGCGAUCCCAGUUCGCGGCAGAGAACAAGACAGCAAGCGAGCGUACCUUUGUUCGCUUCUUCUCCACCAAGCACGGAAGUUUAAGGAUAACUGUAGGUCGGUGGCUACCUAAGGAAACUCCGAUUCGAUCCGCCCCCCAGCUGGGAGGCAUCUACCUCAUCCCGAUCACAAGGAGAGGUUCACCAUGAUGGGGGUACUUGUUUUUUUUCCCUUCCGGAAAGAAUGAAAUGCAUAGGGGACCAUCCUUUUGUUGUGUUGCGGCAUGCUCCUCAGAUUUACGGAUUCGCAGGGGGCCUCAGGCCCUACUUAGUUGACUGACAAUGACAAAGGCUUGCGAAACUAAGUAGGGCCUUUUGAAUGAAUUGAAUCUUUAGUAGUCUAUCAGUGGUGCAAAGCGGCUUUGUGCCCCUUUUCAGUAGGGGAGCUAAGGCUUAGACCUUCCUUAGAAAGUCAGCGAACAGCGGUUCUUCUAUGUAGGUAUGGCCUUCCCCCUUGACUCUCCUAACGUCGAGCUAAGUGACUUUGUAACCUUUGCGUAGCGUAGUAGAAUGAAGGCUACGCACUGACGCUCUCUUAUCUAUUAGCCUAAGCGUCUUCGCUAACUCGCUCGCCUACUAUACUAUACCCUACUAUACAAUACAUUAGUAGGGUAGGCUAACCCAUAGGUCCUUAGUAGCGUUGACAAAGAAGAACAGCCGGUUAAAAGACAGUGAAUCUUUAUAAAUAUAUAUUUAUAAAAGAUUCUAUAAUAAUGAAAAAGAUAUUUUAUAUAGGCCAGCUUGACAAGCUACCCUUCCUCUUGAUCUUAGGUGCGAAGAGAAAGAUCUCUUUUUUAUGACUUCCACUUAUCUAUCGAUCCCGGCCCGGAAAAGUGACCGACCAGGGGAAUGAAAGAAAGGCUUUAUGAGCCCUAGCCCUGUAAGCCCACACCUGUGUAGAGUAGAUCGUUCAACACCUGCGGCACAAACCCAUUUUUGACCUAUUGGUCCUAGUAUCAUAGGCGACCGAACGGCCGCCCCCUAAUUACUAGACCAACCUGCUGUAAUAAUUCCAUAAACACCUAACGAAGAUAUGGCAAACAAAUAAAGUAGCCCUAUGUUCGAAUCUGACAAUACCAUACCAUAAUCAAAAGGUACAACGGCCCGAGCGACCAGACUUAACAUAAAUGUAGCCACUGGAGCCAUUCUAAAAAGGGAGAAAUUAGCACUACUUGGUGAAAUAGGUUCUUUUAGAAUCAAUUUCAAACCAUCUGCUAGAGGUUGUAACAAUCCGAACGAUCCCACUACAUCAGGACCUUUUCGACGUUGCACAAAAGCCAUUACUUUACGUUCAGCUAGCACUAAAAAGGCUACUCCUAGUAGAAGUGGUAGAAUUAUUCCAAGUAUUUCAGCUGGAACAGCUAUGUACGUUUUCGAUUUUCUAUUCACUCAUGAUCUGGCCUGGUCGACCCAAUCAUGAUAUUGAAGGAUGGGACCUUUUCUCGAAAAACUUUUGUUUCACAUUUUCGGAACUAGAAGACAUAGUUGAUUAGAUCUAAAAAGUGAAAAAUCUGUUCGCAUAACCAAGCAUUUUGGCCAUGUAACAUGACAUCAUAAUAGUCAUUUGUCAGAAAGCCCGGACUGUCAAUCCGAUCGUCGGAAAUAACAGCCCUAACAAGGUCGGACAUCGUCCACUCCGGCGGUACUUGUCUAUUUGACAGUAGAACUCAGUCUUCGCAUUUAUCGCAGAUUUGAUUAAAUACCCGCUAUAACUCAGGUGGAGCGCUUUGCGCGUCCGACCUAGUUGAAGAAAGAGUGAAAGAGGUACUUGACAGACUAUCAAAAGACAUAUUCCUAGUAUCUGAUAGCAUAAAUUGGACAUCACUGGACGUUGGAUUUCCAAAGAGUAAAAGUUAAUUGUUAUUCAACAUAGGCUACUUUGAAAAAUAGCUCUGCUCCCCUUAAAAAAGACAAAUGAGGUUACUAGUAUCUCGACCAUAGGGAGAGGAAAGACUUGUUUGUUGUAAAUCGCUGGUUGGUUUACCAACCAAGAAAGGGCAAGGGGAGCCCCGCAACGGGGGUAGGGGAUCUUUAUCAUUCAGCGCAGUUGUCGCUUAAAUGCAGAGAAUUGGCCAUUCAAUCUUGUAAACUCAUUGAGACCGCAAUUGGAAAAAGAGAUACGAACGGAGAGGAAUAACCAAUCGAUGAAAGAACAUGAAACCAUUCUGUUUCAAUAGAGGUACGAGAAACGGUUGGGGGCAAUGAAGUAGGUGAAGUCGUUGGAUUUUGCGAGCUGUUCCAACCACUGCUGGAUGUGAUUCCAAGAGCCAAACGAGAAUGAAUACCACACAGAAGAGUAAAGACCAGGCUCCCUAAUGGAAUGUUUAACCGAUCCAUUCCGGAUCGACCGAAUUGGUACGGAAGUUGUAACAUGGGAAAACCACAGAAAACACAACUUAUUUGAAUAACCCGGUGACCUACCAAUUGUAGAAGUAGGAUCUUUGGCAAGCAAUAAGCACUUAAAUAAUACAAUUCGAGUGUACCAUCUUCUUUCUCAUUUCGAGGAAAAGGCGCGGGAGGAAAAGAAAACAACGAAGGGAUCCGAAUCGGACCUAAAUGGGAAUGACAUGAAAAGUCUUUUUCAAAACCUAGUAUUAAGGGCGUUACGACGAUAUACGAGAGGAAUGGAGAAAAACUCGUGAUUGGUGUGGAGGGGAAGAUCUUUUUAUUAUAUAGUUCAAGAAAGAGUCGUCUCAUUUCCUUACAUUAGCAAUGGAAGAUAAAAAAAAGUCAAUAUCUGUUGUUUUUUUCACUUAAACUUAAUAAGAGGUCCCCUCUUUUUUAAAUUUAGUUCAUUAACUUUCAAUCGCAUUUGGGCGUUCUUUCUCUCGAGAGCCCUCCACCGAUCACAGUCGUGAUCCAUUUCUGCCCGUAGCCGAGCACGUUCGUUGUCACGAACCCGAUCUAUUUCUCGGGCUUGAUCCAACCGGCUGUCGACUGAGUCAAGAACCGUCUUGAGGCGCGCGAAUCUUUCUUGUCUGGCCUCCUGACCCUCGGUGGGGGAUUCACUCAAGUGGCGAAUCUCCCUAAACCAUAAGUCGCCAAUCUAGGCGUAUGGUCUUUGUUCAUUCCAAAGAAAGAAGGUAGUGUUCGGUAACUAACUGUUCGCCGGUUGGCUCGUUUCCUAUCCCCUAUCCAAAAAAGGUGGAAGGCGACCCCCUAGCCAAACACUUCCUUUCCCUUUUCCGUAACCUUCAACUAAGCUUCAAGACCGAUUCUCCCCUGUACAAACUCCUAACUUGGAUCUUCCUACCGCUGAUGAGAGGCCAUCCCCUCCCUACCACCAUAUAUGAAAUAUGCCUUGUUUUUUUUCAAUCCUCCCUUCAACAGAUCCGUAAGGGCAGAUCUGGUAGCAAGAGAUCAAUUAUCAGAUUAAGUAAAGGGAUUGCCUAGCUAGCGCAUAUCGAAGAGUUUGAGCAGUGGCCUUUGUUCACAUCCUGAUUGGGUUUCAUCGAGGUAUCUUCUUCUCCUCUUGUUGCGACAAAUCGAGUUGCAGCACAUGACGAGUGCCCAUCUUUCCCGAAGCUCCACUUUCAUAAACACCCAUCGGUACAACAAUUGAUCACAACGGAAAGUAAUUAAGCUUGAUCCCGUUUUCCAUCGAAUCCUAUUCUCAACCUCGAGUCAGGAGUUGUUGCCCUAACUUCGUUAGCCUAGAAAGGCUUUGUUUGAAAGCUGUCUUUUCAAGAAGAAAGUAACACCGCUACUACUAUUAUAAUAUAAUAGCUACCUAUUCUCAUCCGAGGAGAACGGAACUACCUUUAGAGUAGACCUAACUGCUGCGGUUACGCCUCCAACAGAUGAAAUCGCACCGUCGUCUUCCCAGCGUAGAGCAAAGCAAACAAGUCAGCCGGAGUUCCAGAAGUCUCUUUAGUAGCAAAAAGGCUAAUCGGUAAUAAGCCUUCAGUCGACCAUCGGGAGAUACGCCUCCAGGCCAAACAGAUAAGGGAAGCGAGAACAUGAUCUUCUUCCUUUGCCUUUUAUAUGAUUACCUCUUCAGCGAGCGAGUACUCAUAUUAUGCCUUCCUUUCAGUCCUCCGAUCUUACCUUAGACCCUCCAUGCUAUGCGGGGAAGCGAGGCUGUCUACGAAGCUUCCCUCCCCCUGUAGUCGAAGUACUCGGCGCUACUUUGAUUCAAAAGGUUCCCGACUUUAUCCGGUUUCCGCAACCGUAAUCAUUUGUCAUUCCGAUUACUUCAUCCAUCAACCUUUUUUUCAAUAGCGGUACGCUCUAAAAAAAGUAAAGGAUAAGCUUGCAUUCUAGAAGCGGUAGCUUCCCGCCUCCUUCAUUUCUACUGCCUCCUUCGGUGAUAAAAGUUCCCUUCCCUUUUCUAAAAUGCCCGAUUGGUCUGCCUCAGCAAAUGUACAAAGUGGACCGCUGUUUGGCUGACCCUCUUCUUCCCAUUCGGGUUGGGUUGACCCAGAAGUAAAGUAAGAAGGAAUGGAACCACUGGAGAGUCGUCCGCAGUUCACACUUGGGCAAAGACGACUGAGUUUGGAAGCGGAACACGAACCGAUUUCCGCUAUUCCGGGUUCUUAUUGAGCGUAGCGAAAUCAAGGUUUAUUAGAAAGUCAGCGAAGUUUCUAUGGUGUUCUACCUUUGCGUAGUCUCGGUCCACAGUGGAAGGCUCCGUACCGACGCCUCACUACUACUGAAUUUAAUUAAUGGCUAAGCGAUUUCAUAACCUGAGCUUUCCUUAACCAGCUGACCUUACUUCGUAACCUUAACGUACUUUCUUUCUUACUAUAUCAAUCAUAGGCCUUCGCCACUUCAAACGGGCGCUUCGCCCUUUCUUUUUUUUAUUAGAAAAAAACGGGGCCUUACUUAUUCUGUUCAGGGAGGAUGAAAGACAAAGAAAGGGAUCAGGGGGCUUAUUGAUCGGAGAAAGGGAAGGGACUUCUUGGACCUAACUGAGAAGGAGACAUAAAGGGAUCACCUGACCUUAUCUUGAGUGAGAGAGGCAAGUCGCAAGGCAAAAAGCUUAGUCGUUUUCAACUCCGAGAGUGACUUCACUUACGGGAUUUCUAUUUCAUUCAGAGCCUGUUCCGGGCAUUGAGAGCAGACGAAGACUAAUAAUACUUUCGGAUAGCACGUGAGAUCAACUACUUAGAAUACGCUACCAUCUGUCUUCGAUUAUGCUCGUUCUACUUUGAGGGAGAGAUCGCUCCUUUAAGGAGACGGGAUUCUACUAUUAUAUAUGAAUAUGAUCCCACCACUUGAAACUGAUUCAACACCAUUCUUCUUCCAAGAGAAAGAAGAGCAAGAACAUCGCUUAUUCUGCAGCAACCUUCCUUUAUGCCUCUGUCGUCGCCGGGCUAAGGCCUGCUGAGACAAUAGAUAGUCAGGCAGGUGGCCUAGCCCUAAGGUGAUUCUCGCUCCUACUUUGAUUUUUGAUUCGCGUAGUGAUAAAAUCAUUUCCGAUUGGCUUUCUUUGUUUGCUUUCCUUUCCCUAAACUUAAUCGAAUCUUUCUGCCCCAUAAGAGAAAUUGGCUUUUUCUGGUGAAAACUUAGAUGUUGAAGCAUGGGCGGCCGUCGAUCGAUGAAUUGAGAAAGAGACCGGGGAUUCCAUUUCAAUAGAGAAAGCUAUCGAUGGUCGCAUUGGGACGGGAACAAGAGCAAUUCUUGGUCCCACCAAACCAUGCCAUGAACAGUCGACUCAACAAGAGCAGGGGAUAUUUAAACUAAGACUCAUUCCGUCUAUUGCUCUACCUUCCUCCAACAGAUUGAAUUGCAUCGUUUAUUCCCCGGCAAAACUAGCUGCUGACUCAACCUCCCCUCGGGUCUACGCCCUCUUUGUUUUAGCAUCGGCGAUUGAAAGAGAGUAGGAGCGCAUUCUCUCCAUCUCAGUUGGAAAGUCUAUCGCUCUCAGCAGCAGUUCCUUGGUCAUACCCUCGGUGAUGACUAGCAGUCCUUCCUGAUUGAGUUCUCACCCUCUAUGGAUAGAUCAAGAGUUCCGGCCCGGCUAUGAUUCCAUCAACAAACCCGAUUCGGUAUAAAAGCUUAGCUUCUAUUACAAGAAUCUAUUUUGAAAAGAGCUAUCCUAAAGCUUGACAGGUCUCCCCAACUCUGUUUUUCACUCGAAAACCGAAAGCAUAAGGAUGAGCCUUGGGCCCCCUUUCCCAAGAGCAGAAGGAGCGUUUAGAUACUGUACCUACCUUUAGGUGCGUGCAGGAGCAAGGACGAAAGGAGAACAAGUCGCAGGAGAAGCGUUGAAGAAGCAGUAGUUUAAGCCAUUGAUCCUGCAGCUUAUCAAAAUAAGCACCAGCAGACAGAGGUAGAUACAGAGCCAUAGGCAAACCUUCACGAUCGAUAGCCUUUUAUGAAUACGACCCUCGUGCUCGAGAGGCGGAUCCAAAGGCAGUCGCUUACCUAGGAGCAUACUUCGGUGUAGCAUAUAUAGCGGCAUACCCCUUUGACCUAGGUGGAAAAGAGAUCUAUUGAAACCCACCAUAAGUAUCUGGGGAGACAGCUGCGGAUACAGAUUUACCAUAAGCAAAAGCGGCUACUGAGGCGAAGGCAAAUAAGGUUCCGUUCCGGAAAAAGAAAUGGAAAUUAAAAAAAAGGUCUGAUCAAAUAUUUUGCUUUCUUGUUGUCUUGAAUUGUUAUAGAACGGCUUUCUAUUUAUAUAAGGUAUAGUUGGUAGGAUGAAGUGGGAUGUGAAGCCUUAGUGGAUAUAGCAAGUGUGCCGGGGAUGCGGCUCGGGCGUAGUAGGUCUGGACGCCUAGCAUGAAACAGCCUUCUCUGGUAGCGGCACUAUACCUUAGUAUAGUAUCUCUCUAGCUUCCAGUCUAUAUUAAAAAACGUAGUUAGCAGAGGUCAGUCUGUCUGGCGUUCCCUCGCGUAAAGGGCGACUUUGGCAUCGGCUCUCUCUCGUUAGGUAAUUACCGAGGCGAAAGCGGCUCUCUCGGAAGUCAGUUUCCCCGCCAUCUUAGUGGGACUAGUCUAAUAAACUUUCACUUCAACUGCCUUACUCUAACAAGUAAGCAAGUCAACUACCAAGACUCGGAUUUUUUUGUUGUGGUAACGCCCUUCUAGAAUUACGUUUAACGUCCCUUCCUUUAUGAUUAUGACUUUCCCGAUCAGCGCCUCGGGUCGGUAGCCGGGCUCCGGGACAUUACUACCACGGCUACUAUCGACCCGAGCCCAAAGAAGGAAAAGAACGGACUAAAGCGAGGAGUUCAUUGGCCAUACAUAGUGAAGGGGGAUGGGGGGUCAACCUCUUUCAUGACCCAUGGCCCCAGUGUGUUACUUGGUUAGCAUUUCUAGAACAAAUUAAGUAGGGUUGGUUUUUCGAUAGGGAAACAGGGGAGUUAGUUGGCUGUAGUUGAGACACGUUUUUCGGAUAUGGAUUUUUUCGAGAUGGUUAACCACUUUUUUAACCGUGAGAGGGAGGUCAUUCAGAACCCGCUGGCUCCAGUCCAGAACCGGUGGAAGUUCCCCACGCCGAUCCCCCAACGUGAGGCACUUCGAAGUGCCAUUCAUUCUUGAGCAAGUUCGGUAAUAUUGUGAGAAGGGGAAAGGGCGGCUUUCCGUUCACUUUCCGGAAAUUGAAGAAAUCUAUUCCAGUGUCGCAGAGAACAUUAUGUCUCGCGAUCUGGAAAUAUCUGCGGAGAUUUCUAUUGAAACCCUCCGCGGAUGGGUGGAGGAGAUAAAGGAGAACCCUAAUCCCCUAAAAUCCCUCAUUAGGGAACACCUGUAAGAUGAGUCUGCCGCUUUAUUUCAUAACAGAGCCGGGAAUAACGGCUGGCAUAGAAGUCUCUCGCACGCAAGGAGAUGCAUUUCUGGUACUGGACAAGCUCUUAGGGAAUAAUCUCUUUCUUAUUUCUUCCUUUUUUCCCAUGACGACUAGGAACGGGCAAAUCAAAAAUUUCACUUCGAAUUUCGGACCUCAACAUCCUGCUGCUCAUGGUGUUUCACGAUCAGUAUUGGAAAUGAACGGAGAAGUGGUGGAACGUGCGGAACCACAUAUUGGAUCACUCCAGUGCGGCACGAAGCCGCUGACGCCGAGUCGGCUCCUAUGCCGCUAGCUAUGCCCUGCUUGGUCCCCCGGCACGGUGGAGGUCCCGUAGCGCGUCAUGAGCACCGGGCUAAGAGGCGGUUGAGCAACUCAAGCGAACCGCCCUACCUUACUACAACAUAAGGACAGAAGGGAGAAGGUUGUGAAGGUGGCCUCGUUAUCCACACCUCCGGUCAGAUGAAUGGAGGACCGACCGACCCGGGUUUUCAUGAGCGUUGGCGGGUCCUGGAGUGCCUGUCAAGGGCGCUAGCGCAUACCCCGGGGUGAUCAUCACCACCUGCACCUCACAUCUCGGCACAGCGGAACGUGUAACCCGCCUGCUGUCUCAUUCAACUACAUUUGUUCCUGUAAUCCAUAGCCUAACAGAACGCAGCAGCGAGGGACAACCCGCCCAUACACAGCCAGCGGGGAGGAUGGCACUACUGGCAAAGACCGUCCGGCGAAAACGCCGCAGGCGCGAAGCGUGGUAGGCCGGUGCCGGGGGAGCAUAGCAUAGGUAGGAAAGGGAGCCAGGACGGUGGAAGAGCCAGGGGGGGCCGGGUCAUUUGACGGAAAUGGAAGGCUUUUCCCCUAUUAGAGAAGGCCCUCUGAAGUCAAGGGGAAGUGCAUUAAUUCUUGGAAAAAGAGGGAGCUAUAAAAAUGAAUGAAAGUGAAUUCAAUGAAUAGAUAGAGUCAACGGUACGACAGACAGCGCUGCCUACACGCGAAUUAGCUUCCGAGGUCGAGCAGUCUCAAUUUCACUACAGGAUUUGCGAAUGAAUGCUGGGCUGGGCCACCUCGAAUGGCGUGAGCCGCAUGCGGGGAGACCCGCACGUACGGUUUUUAGGGGGAUCUGGUCGAAAGACCGGCCGGCGCCCACCCGACUAGAGGGACUGAGAAAUUAAUAGAGUACAAAACUUAUCUUCAAGCUUUACCUUAUUCUGAUCGUUUAGAGGGCGAUCGCGGAGUCACUGAAUGAAGUCCUCCGUUUCUUUCGGAGGUGCUGACCCGCAGCGAGGCAGAGAUGACUAAGUUACAUAUGGAAUAUGGCGACGACAACAGCAUGUCGUAGAAGGAGAUAACAGGUGGAGCCAACGAUCCGCUAAGACUAACGUAUCUACAACUCCAUCCCCGAGCGGCAGUCAAACGGAGGCGUGAAUGCAAGAUGCCAGCGGAAUGAUCGGCCGGACAGAGGCUAGGGCUGCUUCCUUCCCACCGCGUCCUUCCUUGUGUGUCGGAGAUAUAAAGCGAGUGCACCGGAAAAGAACGGGAACUGGGUCGAUCUAUUCUAUGGCGAAGCAUCCGAAGCAUAACUGCACACUCACACGAUCUUUGCCGAGAGAUAGGAGCAUUCGGUGGAACCGGUGAACUACACUUGCUUCUGGAUAGAUGUGUGGGACAGAGGGCUCGUGGUACCUGCUGCCCACCCUUCCUCCUCUGCUUUGAGAACCGUGUGAACGGAGAGUGGGCAGAAGGGAAGGAGGUCCUCAUACGGAGUCGCACACUUACUUGAGCAGUGCGGAAGACUGGGGAAUGGGUUGAGUAAACUCCCCUGGGGCCGGAAAAAUAACAGACGAAGCUUUACUUAGAUAGGGCUUUGAUUGGUUAUUUUUUUUUCUUAGUGAUUGGAAAGGAGGGCGCCUGGGUAUGUUACAAAAGGGGAAGGCAGAGGUAGUACUUCGAAUGGCGAAACGAAGGGCUAAAUAGCGCCAGUGAUUCUCUGAGCCGGUCUGGAUUUUCAACGCCUCGGGAAACUGGUCGAGAUAGAUUAGAUGACAGCACCCUUUUCCUCUCUUCCUUACCGGGAGGGCAAUCUUAUCUUAUGGCCUUCACCUCCCGCCCGGCCCGGAAAUAGAACCCAGCCCCCCCUUCUGAUCCAUUCAUUUCUGCAAGCAGGGGGGAUCCAGAGCUAAUCCUCCCGUCUAUUGCAUAACCUAAAAAAGCUAUAAGCAAAGUACCAAAGGUGCGCUCCGCCCGGUGACUAAGAAAUUGGUUUGCGCUUUGAAGUGAUGAGGUCGCAAAGAGGGAAGUAGGGCUCCUAUUGAAAGGCUUUCCCUCCCUCAAAAGGCGACCAGCUUUCAAUACUAGUUGUUACGUUACGCUGCCAUUUUUCCAAUAUCAUUGAAUAGCAUGGCCUGCCUGGGGCUAAGGUAACUCAAGUGGGAGAGCCGUGUUAUGGGUGACCUUAUUGCACGGUUCAGAGAGCACUUGUGUAUGUGAUGCAAGUGAACGUGUACGAAAAAGCUGUAUCUAGGGUGAGUUCUUCGUUCCGUCGUCGACCCUAUCUAUGUUUCUACGAUGGCCCAAGAACACGCUCAUUCUUCAGCCGUAGAGAGACUUUUGAAUUGCGAGGUACCAUUACGAGCUCAAUAUAUACGAGUGUUAUUCCGUGAAAUAACUCGAAUUUCAAAUCAUUUACUUGCUUUAACUACUCAUGCUAUGGAUGUGGGAGCAUCAACUCCGUCCCUGUGGGCUUUUGAGGAGCGGGAGAAAUUGUUGGAAUUCUAUGAAAGAGUCUCGGGAGCCAGGAUGCAUGCCAGUUUCAUACGACCAGGUGGAGUGGCACAAGAUCUGCCUCUUGGCUUAUGUCGAGAUAUUGAUUCCUUCACACAACAAUUUGCUUCUCGUAUCGACGAAUUAGAAGAGAUGUCAACCGGCAAC